GUGGUCUGGGAGUGUUUAUAGUCCUGUGAGUUUAACACCUCAUGACUGAGAGCUGUCCUUCAUGACAACAGAACCCACAACAACCAUGACUCUGAUCACCAUCUUCAUCUGGACUCUAGCUGUCUACAUACAGGAGUCCAGAGGGCAGUACACUUUGACUCAGACUCCUGCAGUGAAAGCUGUUCUUGCAGGACAUACAGUCUCUAUAGGAUGUAGAGUUAGCAGUCCUGUGUACAGUGGUAAUCGUCUAGCCUGGUACCUCCAGAAACCAGGAGAAGCUCCUAAACUCCUCAUUUACUACGCUACAGCACUUGAGUCUGGGAUUCCUCCUAGAUUUAGUGGUAGUGGAUCUGGAAGUGACUUCACUCUGACCAUCAGUGGAGUCCUGGCUGAAGAUGCAGGAGAUUACUACUGUCAGAGUUACCACAGUGAUGGAGUGUUCACACAGUGAUACAGAGCCGUACAAAAACCUCCCUCAGUCAGACUGCACAGUGACUGCACUGCUACAGCUGGGACCUACUGCAGGUGCUGAGGGGGGAGAGACAGUGACAUGGAACACUGACUGGCCUUUGUUACACUGAGAUGAAUAUAUCAGUGAUGCUCAUAUGUUAACUAACCCACCCUCAUGUCAAAGCACUCCUUAAAACGUUUUAGCUCAUGAAGUUAAUAUAUGAAACCUCUUAUAGGAAAACAAAACUCUUUAUAUUAGUGUGAAACCUGUCUCUACUGACUC